AUUGAACGCUGGCGGCAGGCCUAACACAUGCAAGUCGAGCGGUAGCACAGAGAGCUUGCUCUCGGGUGACGAGCGGCGGACGGGUGAGUAAUGUCUGGGAAACUGCCUGAUGGAGGGGGAUAACUACUGGAAACGGUAGCUAAUACCGCAUAAUGUCGCAAGACCAAAGUGGGGGACCUUCGGGCCUCAUGCCAUCAGAUGUGCCCAGAUGGGAUUAGCUAGUAGGUGGGGUAAUGGCUCACCUAGGCGACGAUCCCUAGCUGGUCUGAGAGGAUGACCAGCCACACUGGAACUGAGACACGGUCCAGACUCCUACGGGAGGCAGCAGUGGGGAAUAUUGCACAAUGGGCGCAAGCCUGAUGCAGCCAUGCCGCGUGUGUGAAGAAGGCCUUCGGGUUGUAAAGCACUUUCAGCGGGGAGGAAGGCGUUAAGGUUAAUAACCUUGGCGAUUGACGUUACCCGCAGAAGAAGCACCGGCUAACUCCGUGCCAGCAGCCGCGGUAAUACGGAGGGUGCAAGCGUUAAUCGGAAUUACUGGGCGUAAAGCGCACGCAGGCGGUCUGUCAAGUCGGAUGUGAAAUCCCCGGGCUCAACCUGGGAACUGCAUUCGAAACUGGCAGGCUAGAGUCUUGUAGAGGGGGGUAGAAUUCCAGGUGUAGCGGUGAAAUGCGUAGAGAUCUGGAGGAAUACCGGUGGCGAAGGCGGCCCCCUGGACAAAGACUGACGCUCAGGUGCGAAAGCGUGGGGAGCAAACAGGAUUAGAUACCCUGGUAGUCCACGCCGUAAACGAUGUCGAUUUGGAGGUUGUGCCCUUGAGGCGUGGCUUCCGGAGCUAACGCGUUAAAUCGACCGCCUGGGGAGUACGGCCGCAAGGUUAAAACUCAAAUGAAUUGACGGGGGCCCGCACAAGCGGUGGAGCAUGUGGUUUAAUUCGAUGCAACGCGAAGAACCUUACCUGGUCUUGACAUCCACAGAACUUAGCAGAGAUGCUUUGGUGCCUUCGGGAACUGUGAGACAGGUGCUGCAUGGCUGUCGUCAGCUCGUGUUGUGAAAUGUUGGGUUAAGUCCCGCAACGAGCGCAACCCUUAUCCUUUGUUGCCAGCGGUUAGGCCGGGAACUCAAAGGAGACUGCCAGUGAUAAACUGGAGGAAGGUGGGGAUGACGUCAAGUCAUCAUGGCCCUUACGACCAGGGCUACACACGUGCUACAAUGGCAUAUACAAAGAGAAGCGACCUCGCGAGAGCAAGCGGACCUCAUAAAGUAUGUCGUAGUCCGGAUUGGAGUCUGCAACUCGACUCCAUGAAGUCGGAAUCGCUAGUAAUCGUAGAUCAGAAUGCUACGGUGAAUACGUUCCCGGGCCUUGUACACACCGCCCGUCACACCAUGGGAGUGGGUUGCAAAAGAAGUAGGUAGCUUAACCUUCGGGAGGGCGCUUACCACUUUGUGAUUCAUGACUGGGGUGA
rnacentral:rRNA from 1 species